AAGCUUAUCAGAGUUUAAAGAAUAGAAUGUAAUUCAUAGGUUUUGAGGCCAAGAUCCCUUUCCCCCUCCCUUUCCUGUCCUCUUUUUCUGUAGUGCUAACAGCAGGGCACAGAAGAGCCGAUUAAAAAAAAAAAAAAGUAUUGAGAGGAUUUGGGAACACAUUCUCUGGCGUCACAACCAAAAAGCUGCAAGAAAAAAUCUUUUGAACCCUGCCCUCCCAAAAAGACAAUGAUUUCUCAAUGUUCCCAAAAAGAAUAACAGCUCCUGAACUCAGCCACAAUGCUUUGCGCUGUACGACAAGGAGAAAAGCGUCUCCGUGGACGGGCUCUGUGUGAAGGAUUUGCAUGAUGCAGCAGAUGCACAUCUCCAUUACGGAACCCUGACCGAGACAAUUCCACAGGAUGUCCAUCAAACUCUUGUUCUCUCUGAUUUACUCGCUCCUGCCGGGAUGACAGAGGACAGUGAGGGCCGCAGUACCCCUGCAGUGAACUCGACUGCUUGCAGUCAAGCUGAUACUUAGUAAACAUGUAAAACCUGCAUUUAUCUUCAGGAUGAGUCUCUGAAAUUUUGUUCAGUGAUGUGAAUCCCAGUUGAGGUUGUUCACAAAGGUUGAAGAGAAUGCCGCUAGACUGGUGAACAUGCUGCGUCUUUUAUCCAAAAGUCUCAUGGUGUUUGGAUUUUUAACUUGAUUUACAAUCUCAAGUGAGAGAAUGUUCCAGAACAGGUCUUGUGAGGGGUGGUCAAUAAAUAAAAAAUGUGAGUGAUGAUGUAAGCUAAUCGCAGAGAUCACCUUUUGCUUUUUGUACUUUGCAUUUCUGUCCAGUGUUAAAUACUAUCAUCAAAAUGUGUUAUGUGCAAUAUGCAAAUGAGUUGUGGCUAUCACUUUUAGAGAUUUUUUUUUUUAAUCCUUUCUGUAGAACUUGCAGCACUGCACGUUGUCCUCUGGGUGAACCGUCAUUUAUCAGAGGAUGAUUCAUUGUUCAUUGUUUGGGAUUUUGUAAUUGUUGAAAAUCCUCCCGUGUUUCUCUGAAAACCCAGAGGUACCAGAACUUAAAAUAUUCGAGAUGAUUGUUGUGACAUCUCAGAUAAG